UACGUAGGUGGCAAGCGUUGUCCGGAUUUACUGGGCGUAAAGAGCGCGCAGGCGGUCGUCCAAGUCGCGUGUGAAAGCCCCCGGCUCAACUGGGGAGGGUCACGCGAUACUGGUCGACUCGAAGGCAGGAGAGGGUAGUGGAAUUCCCGGUGUAGUGGUGAAAUGCGUAGAUAUCAGGAGGAACACCUAUUGCGAAGGCAGCUCGCUGGGACGUAACUGACGCUGAGGUGCGAAAGCGUGGGGAGCAAACAGG
rnacentral:rRNA from 1 species